rnacentral:rRNA from 1 species
GUGCACCAGUCGAGAAUAGUCUACAAUGGACGAAAGUCUGAUAGUGCGACGCCGUGUGUGCGAUUAAUUCCUUCGGGAUGUAAAGCACUUUUCUAUGAGAUAAAAGCUCUUUAGGUUAAUAGCUUAUUGAGACGGAUAUUAUUAUAGGAAUAAGCUCCGGCUAACUCCGUGCCAGCAGCCGCGGUAAUACGGAAGGAGCGAGCGUUGUCCGGAUUUACUAGGCGUAAAGGGCUAGUAGGCGACUAAUUAAGUUAUAUGUUAAAUCCCACGGCUCAACUGUGGUCCUGCAUGUAAUACUGGUUAGAUAGAGUACUGUAGAGGAAGGCAGAAUUCCUGGAGUAGCGGUGGAAUGCGCAGAUAUCAGGAAGAAUACCAAAAGCGAAAGGCAGCCUUCUGGGCAGUUACUGACGCUGAAUAGCGAAGGUGUGGGUAGCGAACAGGAUUAGAUACCCGUGUAG